rnacentral:rRNA from 1 species
UACGGAGGUGGCUAGCGUUGUUCGGAAUUACUGGGCGUAAAGGGCGCGUAGGCGGCAUUGCAAGUCAGAUGUGAAAGCCCCGGGCUUAACUCGGGAACUGCAUCUGAAACUGCUUUGCUUGAGUCCUGGAGGGGGUAGUGGAAUUCCCAGUGUAGCGGUGAAAUGCGUAGAUAUUGGGAGGAACACCUGCGGCGAAGGCGGCUACCUGGACAGUGACUGACGCUGAGGCGCGAAAGCGUGGGGAGCAAACAGGGAGUUA